rnacentral:rRNA from 1 species
CGUACACUCCUCGGGAGGCAGCAGUAGGGAAUCUUCCACAAUGGGUGCAAACCUGAUGGAGCAAUGCCGCGUGAGUGAAGAAGGUCUUCGGAUCGUAAAGCUCUGUUGUUAGAGAAGAACACGUGCUAGGUAACUACUAGCGCCUUGACGGUAUCUAACCAGAAAGUCACGGCUAACUACGUGCCAGCAGCCGCGGUAAUACGUAGGUGACAAGCGUUGUCCGGAUUUAUUGGGCGUAAAGGGAGCGCAGGCGGUCUGUUUAGUCUAAUGUGAAAGCCCACGGCUUAACCGUGGAACGGCAUUGGAAACUGACAGACUUGAAUGUAGAAGAGGAAAAUGGAAUUCCAAGUGUAGCGGUGGAAUGCGUAGAUAUUUGGAGGAACACCAGUGGCGAAGGCGAUUUUCUGGUCUAACAUUGACGCUGAGGCUCGAAAGCGUGGGGAGCGAACAGGAUUAGAUACCCUAGUAGUCC